rnacentral:rRNA from 1 species
UACGUAGGGGGCAAGCGUUGUCCGGAUUUACUGGGCGUAAAGAGCGCGUAGGCGGAAGCUUAAGUGUGGCCUGAAAGCCCCCGGCUCAACCGGGGAGAGUGCUGCAAACUGGGCUUCUUGAGGGGGAUAGAGGAAGGUGGAAUUCCGGGUGUAGCGGUGAAAUGCGUAGAGAUCCGGAGGAACACCAGUGGCGAAGGCGGCCUUCUGGGUCCGCCCUGACGCUGAGGCGCGAAAGCGUGGGGAGCGAACGGG